UUGCAGCGGUUACAGAGUGCAGUGCUGCAGCUCUCACUCAUUUCCAGCGAGCUUCCAAGCAGGUGCUGGGAGGACAAUUGUCCUUUACAGAACCUCUUGCUUUGUAGGAGGUCACUUACAGGAAUUUGUCCAGCAAACAGGGUCACAUCUGAAGCAGAUUCCUUGUUUGUUCAGCCAUUGUUUGGAUCCCCUGUUUGUUCCCAAGGUACUUAGCUCGUAACACUCAGGUCUUGGUCUGGGCACUGUCUCCUCUUAGCUUGAAUAAAACAGAAUACAUUAGUAAGCCUUCUGAUGCCUUUAGCUUACAUCAGUUUUCUGGGAAACACGGUCAGAAAGCUUGGAAUGACUACAGCUAUAACAUCCUUACACAACACCCUCGCUGCUUAGAACCACAGGCGCUUCAUACACUACAUUCCAGGUCAACACAAAACAGGGGUCUUCCCAAACCAUUUAUUCGCUUAGCCUUUAAAAACAUUCGCAUUUUCCAGCUUACACCACACCAGGGAGCCCACUGCUAAAUGACUAAGCAGUACCACGAGCCAGAGAGCUGGCAUCGCCCCACUGCCGUCCCUUGCACCGCUGGGUGCCGGCCCUCGCACCCACCCCGUGCCAGCCAUGACCCCGGCUCGCUUUGGGGCUUUCCCAGCUGCUCUGGCCGUAGCGGAGCUCCAGCUGUGCUGUGACUUAGCUGUGAGCCAGGGGAGUGGAGCCGGGAGACUUGGUCAUUUUUCUAUGGAAGCGCAGGGUACGAUGACUUCCCAGCUAUCUCUACAGGCACAUGAGGUCAGCGGGACGUGCGCUGGGUGGCCGGCGUGCUGCUGCUCUCAGGCUCGCGGGCUGCAGGGUGUUCUCGACUCCAAAGCGUAGGUUAAGGUUCGGAGAGGUCAGCCCAGCCUCAGUGACACACUCUGAUGUGAUGUGAUCAGGGAAUCGAGCAGAUUCCCCGAUGCUGGGUUCUAUUUCUGUCCCUACUUCCUUCCGCAAUGCUGGAGGUUCGUAGGUGUUAUUGGACUUUGCUUGUCCUUCCCAGAAGCAAACCGAGGAGUGUUUAGUUGGGGAACUCAGCAGAUAAGAAUAGCCCGUGUGCAUUCCCCACUUCGCAACUCUGAGCCUCAAGGAACAGAUCCGACCUGACGAGAGCAAAAACAAAUUCUUCCUCCCCUCGGUUUCAUGUUGGGCCCUGAGAGUGACACCGACGCACCAGCCUCCGAGCCCGUGACUCAGCACCUCUUCUCCGAGAUCCCCUGCCCUCUGAUACAGCAGCAGCACUCAUCCACUUAUUAAGUCUCUCCCAGGCUGGGGGCAUGGAAUAUCUUGUCAUCCUGCCUCUUCUCAUGGCACAGAGAUGAGCUGUCAAAAUUUCCACUGCUCUGACAACGUGGGUGCGGACAUGGGAGCGCUUCAUCCUUCUGCGGACGAGGCUGUUGGCGCUCGGUGCUUUCAGCCCAGUUGUUGUCCUCCCCCUGCCACAGGUGCCCAGCUUCCUUUGCUCCCUCUGCAGGAGGUGAAAUCCAGUGCAAAGGCUUGCUGACAAAAGCGUGAUGUCCGUUGGAGGUGGGUGUUGCACACAACCUCAAAUACGAGACCUAAAACCGAGCCUUGUUCAGUGUCAGGGAAGCACGGUCCUUCACCAGGGCAGGAUAACCCCUGGCUGUUGCCCGGGCACAAAAGCACCUCUCAAUGAGCAAUGGGUUUUGGUCACGAAACAGGGGCACCCCAUAAAUCCCAGAGAGAAAUACAGGGGCUGCUGGUGUGCUCCUCUGAAUGCUACUGCUUAAACGGGGAGGCAGCGAGGAGGUGCUCCUUGUACAUCUUGUUCCUGGCAACAAAUUCCUUACUCCCCUUUAUAGCACCCAUUCUUUUGGGGAGCCUGUGACACAAAAAAAUAUUGCUUAAGGAAAGCUGCAGAAGCAGCAGUGCCGGGUUAGCUGACUUCUGAGGACUUGGAGGAGUUCUUGGCUGGGAACUGAACCAGAGCACAGGGAACCCUGCAGGUUUCUGCUUCAGGAAAACACUGAAGGACCCACUGAAACUUACGGUGAUUGCAGUUUGUCCUUGGAGCAGUCCUUACAGUAUAUACUGAAACAGACUUCUUAAGGCUACGCUGGAACAAAGUGGAAUUAGUGCCUCCAAACAAAAGGCAGGCCACAAAAAAUGGUCAAAGGGCUAGAGCCCUCUGCAGAGAAGGCUCCGGGGUGACCUGACAGGGGCCUGCCAGGGCCUGAAGGGGCUGCAGGAGGGCUGGGAGAAGGCUUUUUAUCGGGGAGUGUAAUGAUAGGACAAGGGGUAGCAGUUAAAUCAAGAGGGCAGCUUUGGAUGAGGUACAAGGAAGAGAUUCUUCCCUCUGAGGAUGGCAAGGCCCUGGCCCAGGCUGCCCCGAGGAGCUGGGGCUGCUGGGAGGGGUCGUGCCCAUGGCAGGAGCAGGAGCUGGGUGGGCUCUAAGGCCCCUGCCAGCCCAAACCGAUCUGUGGCUCUGUAAAACAUGUAGCCUGCCAUCCCUCUGGGUGAAGGAGGCAUGCUUGGUGCGCUGGAGCUUCCACUCACAGCGCUGGGACGUCCCCUGGCAGAGCAGCAGCACUGCAGCACCCGUGUAGCCGCUUGCUUUGCCCGAAAAUCAGACACCAGGCAAGUCUGCAAGGAACUGCAGGAACCAUAGGAAGCAGCAGGAGGGGGCUGGAGGGAGAUGUGCAAGCCUUACGCUCCUGAAUGGCUUUGGAAAGCCAGUGCCAUCUAUGGCCAUGCACCAAGCGAUGGCAUUACUCACGAGCUAGGAGUGUUAGUAAGGUCACAUGUUCUUCCAGCAAGGAUUUUGUUUUAAGGAAAGGAUUUUUCCAACCUGUGACUUCUGGAGCAGAUACAUCUGCUGCCUCAUCUUCACAAUUACUUGUUGGUAGCAUGUGCAGACUUGGUUGUGGGAAAGGGGAGACCGCUGCAAAGGCGUCGGUUCCUACUGUGCUCCUGACAUCCUUGAAAAAAGAUGUGGGAAACGUGUUCAGAAUCAGCAGCCUUCAGCUUUGAGGAAAGACAGCAUAACUGACUAGGAAUGAGGAGAUUCCUUCUAAGCCCAGAAAGUGUUUUGUUUUUUUUUUGUUUAAGAAUAAAUGUCAGGCAAAAUAAAUGUCAGGCAGAAUUCCACAAUUGAGUAAGUCAUUGCAAAUCCUCCUCAUUUUUGUCUGAUAAGAACCUAGCUUACGGAAGAAAUGUGGGUCACUUUUUCCCCAGUGACGUUGCAAACUGCGCUGUCUGUCCAAGUUCAGUGCGCCAGUCCUCAGUCAUUUUCCUACAUGAGAUUCCAGUUACUUUAAUAUCGAGUUGCUUGCAUCAGAAAAUAUAAUUUGCAUUCGCUUCUGAGGUAAGGAGUGUCAUGGGUGAAGGCUCUCGCAAUUAGAUUUAAGCUGUGCAGAUGAAACGGUAUGAAAGCAGGCAUUACUGACGGCUGGGGCUACGUUCUUGUGAACUUGUUUUGGAUACAAAAAAAAAAAAAAAGCCUAAGAACGUCUACAGAAAGUAAUGGAAAGCCCCCAGCAGCUGUCACGGAAGCUGGUUUUACCAGAGGAGCAGUAAAACAACUCUGACGUAUUUGAGAAGCACAAGAAGCAAAACUGAGGGGCGAUGCUGCAGGAAAUGCCUGAGGUCCGGCAAACAAAGCAACAUGUAUGUUAUAUACCAGGAAUGUCUCGCUUGGGAUUUCCAACUUCAACAGAUCCCUUUAGAAGUUCCCUCCUUGAAUAAUGCUUCCCAGCAGCGAAGUCCCAUGAUCCUGAUUCAGCAAGUGAAAUGCCUAAACAAAGUCAGAACCUUUUAGGAACUUUGAUCCAGGAUUUUAGCCAAGGACUGUUUUAACUGUAAACCCACAAUGGGGGGUUAUAAACAACUACACAAACCUCACAGUUAUUUACAAGCACAUUCUUCUGGAACUCAGGACUAACCCAGCAGUCUCAUGUCCAUCUAAAACAUCAUUGCCAAGGAGAAGCAAACUUCCAGACUCAUAAAAAAAAUCCUUUUGUUUGAGAUCACUAUCUGUAAUGUGUAAAGGCUGAUCCUUACCUUAGCUGGUGGACGUGCUAGACGUGUACAAGUGAUGUUAUAGAACAUGUCAGCAGUACAGAAGUAGAUCAUCAGGAAGAAAAGACAAUAGCUAGAUUAGAAAUAAAACAGCUCUGGAGCACUCGGAAGGAUAUUAAGUCCACUCCAGUAUUAUAGGCUGAUUUCAGCUUAGCAAAGAGUAGCAAAUAUGGCCAGGGGCACGUACCCCCCCAUAAAUGUCUUUGUGUUGCUUCUGCAAUGUGCUCUGUAAUAGCUGGUACUGGCCAGAGCCUUAAAUAAAAUGAUGGAUUUAGCUUGAA